UACGAAGGGGGCUAGCGUUGCUCGGAAUCACUGGGCGUAAAGCGCACGUAGGCGGAUUGUUAAGUCAGGGGUGAAAUCCUGGAGCUCAACUCCAGAACUGCCUUUGAUACUGGCGAUCUCGAGUCCGGGAGAGGUGAGUGGAACUGCGAGUGUAGAGGUGAAAUUCGUAGAUAUUAGGAAGAACACCAGUGGCGGAAGGCGGACUCACUGGUCCGGUUCUGACGCUGAGGUGCGAAAGCGUGGGGAGCAAACAGG
rnacentral:rRNA from 1 species